rnacentral:rRNA from 1 species
UACAGAGACCUCAAGCGUUAUCCGGAUUUACUGGGCGUAAAGGGCGCGUAGGGGGUCUAACGCGUCUCUUGUCAAAUUUCUUCGCUCAACGAAGAACUCGCAAGAGAUACGGUUAGGCUAGAGAACGCCAGAGGUUAUUUGGAACGCACGGUGUAGGGGUGAAAUCCGUUGAUAUCGUGCGGAACACCAAAGGCGAAGGCAAGUAACUGGGGCGUUUCUGACCCUGAGGCGCGAAAGCGUGGGGAGCAAAAAGG